rnacentral:rRNA from 1 species
GACGAACGCUGGCGGCGUGCUUAACACAUGCAAGUCGAACGGAAAGGCCCUGCUUUUGUGGGGUGCUCGAGUGGCGAACGGGUGAGUAACACGUGAGUAACCUGCCCUUGACUUUGGGAUAACUUCAGGAAACUGGGGCUAAUACCGGAUAGGAGCUCCUGCUGCAUGGUGGGGGUUGGAAAGUUUCGGCGGUUGGGGAUGGACUCGCGGCUUAUCAGCUUGUUGGUGGGGUAGUGGCUUACCAAGGCUUUGACGGGUAGCCGGCCUGAGAGGGUGACCGGCCACAUUGGGACUGAGAUACGGCCCAGACUCCUACGGGAGGCAGCAGUGGGGAAUAUUGCACAAUGGGCGGAAGCCUGAUGCAGCAACGCCGCGUGCGGGAUGACGGCCUUCGGGUUGUAAACCGCUUUCGCCUGUGACGAAGCGUGAGUGACGGUAAUGGGUAAAGAAGCACCGGCUAACUACGUGCCAGCAGCCGCGGUGAUACGUAGGGUGCGAGCGUUGUCCGGAUUUAUUGGGCGUAAGGGGCUCGUAGGUGGUUGAUCGCGUCGGAAGUGUAAUCUUGGGGCUUAACCCUGAGCGUGCUUUCGAUACGGGUUGACUUGAGGAGGGUAGGGGAGAAUGGAAUUCCUGGUGGAGCGGUGGAAUGCGCAGAUAUCAGGAGGAACACCAGUGGCGAAGGCGGUUCUCUGGGCCUUUCCUGACGCUGAGGAGCGAAAGCGUGGGGAGCGAACAGGCUUAGAUACCCUGGUAGUCCACGCUGUAAACGGUGGGUACUAGGUGUGGGGUCCAUUCCACGGGUUCCGUGCCGUAGCUAACGCUUUAAGUACCCCGCCUGGGGAGUACGGCCGCAAGGCUAAAACUCAAAGGAAUUGACGGGGCCCCGCACAAGCGGCGGAGCAUGCGGAUUAAUUCGAUGCAACGCGUAGAACCUUACCUGGGUUUGACAUGGAUCGGGAGCGCUCAGAGAUGGGUGUGCCUCUUUUGGGGUCGGUUCACAGGUGGUGCAUGGCUGUCGUCAGCUCGUGUCGUGAGAUGUUGGGUUAAGUCCCGCAACGAGCGCAACCCUUGUUCACUGUUGCCAGCACGUUAUGGUGGGGACUCAGUGGAGACCGCCGGGGUCAACUCGGAGGAAGGUGGGGAUGACGUCAAGUCAUCAUGCCCCUUAUGUCCAGGGCUUCACGCAUGCUACAAUGGCUGGUACAGAGAGUGGCGAGCCUGUGAGGGUGAGCGAAUCUCGGAAAGCCGGUCUCAGUUCGGAUUGGGGUCUGCAACUCGACCUCAUGAAGUCGGAGUCGCUAGUAAUCGCAGAUCAGCAACGCUGCGGUGAAUACGUUCCCGGGGCU